GUAAAAACUGAGGAAUAGACAAGAAAAGGUAUAAAAGGGGCCAGCUUGGUGGAAAAUGGAGCUGGUCUGUUGGGCUUGUCUGCCCCAUUUUCUUUUUCUUUUGCCUCCGGUGGCACCUUUUAACCUUAUAUUUGCCUCCAGGGUCUAUGCAGAAGCCCCUGGCUCCCUGGCUGCUCAGGCUUAGCACCCACCAGCGCUGCUUCCCCAGCAUUUUGUAGCCUUGUUGGCAUCCACACACGGCACUGAAGCUGUUAUGUGCUGAACACACGUCCGAAAUCAUGGUUACAUGAUCGUGGUUGUACCUCCGGCUGCUUUCAGGAGCAGCAAUGUCUGCUUAAUCCUCUCCUCAGCAGCAGGAUGGGGAAAAAGCUAAAAAUAACGCAAGGGUUAUUUUUAUGCUCCGAACCAACCCAAAUAAUGACCUCACGGCUCUGCUAACUUGUUAGGCCACUCGAUCCUCGGGCAAUGCGUCUCCAAAACCAGGGCUUGGAGUUACUGCCUAUAAAUAGCCAGCUUGUUUGUUUGUUUGCUUCCUCAGCUUCUCCGCCAGCUCCAAGAAUUCGUUGAGAAAAGCAGCGCAGCGGGCGAGCAAAGCACCCAGACGCCCGGUGCAGGACGUCCCUUGAUGUACUCCGAUUGCAUAAAUUGAAUUUUCCCGGCCCAAAUCUGCCAGCUUUCUUGGAGAAAAGGCUGCGGGCAUUCCUCACCGUUGACCUUACGCUCUGAGAGCUGAAAUUCCCCCAAAACCACGGAUCCCAGAGGACAAGACCCAGAGCAACCCCGAGGCAGAAACCCCCUCUGUGGUUUCAUCGCUGCCUUCCCAUCGCCCUACGUGGAAAUGGAGCUGAAAUUCCAAAAAAAAAAACCGUCGGAGAUCCCCUGCUGAGCCAAGCAGCCCCUCCACCUCUCCCUCAUCUCCCGUGGGACUUCUUGGAGGUGAAGUCCUGCCUGAUGAAACACGGAGAAAAUCCUCUCAUCGAGCCCAGGAGCAGCUUUUUGGAAGCCCCUCCAGCCAGGUGCCUCUUCUAGACACAAAACUAGAGCAGGGAUGCUAACCUGACGGGAAAUCACUCCACCUGGCAAAUCGGAUCUUUAAAAACAGUUCCUAGCAACCUUUGGUACUCACCAUAUGCAAAUAAAGCUGAUGAACCAAACCCUGAGACA
rnacentral:lncRNA from 1 species